UACGGGGGGGGCAAGCGUUGUUCGGAAUUACUGGGCGUAAAGGGCCAGUAGGCGGCCAACUAAGUCAGACGUGAAAUCCCCCGGCUUAACCUGGGAACUGCGUCUGAUACUGGAAGGCUUGAGUAUGGGAGAGGGAUGUAGAAUUCCAGGUGUAGCGGUGAAAUGCGUAGAUAUCUGGAGGAAUACCGGUGGCGAAGGCGGCAUCCUGGACCAUUACUGACGCUGAGGCGCGAAAGCUAGGGGAGCAAACGGG
rnacentral:rRNA from 1 species